rnacentral:rRNA from 1 species
AUUGAACGCUGGCGGCAUGCUUUACACAUGCAAGUCGAACGGUAACAGGCCGCAAGGUGCUGACGAGUGGCGAACGGGUGAGUAAUGCAUCGGAACGUGCCCAGUCGUGGGGGAUAACUAUCCGAAAGGAUAGCUAAUACCGCAUACGAUCUGCGGAUGAAAGCGGGGGACCUUCGGGCCUCGCGCGAUUGGAGCGGCCGAUGUCAGAUUAGGUAGUUGGUGGGGUAAAGGCUCACCAAGCCAACGAUCUGUAGCUGGUCUGAGAGGACGACCAGCCACACUGGGACUGAGACACGGCCCAGACUCCUGCGGGAGGGAGCAGUGGGGAAUUUUGGACAAUGGGCGCAAGCCUGAUCCAGCAAUGCCGCGUGCAGGAAGAAGGCCUGCGGGUUGUAAACUGCUUUUGUACGGAACGAAACGGCUCUGGUUAAUACCUGGGGCUAAUGACGGUACCGUAAGAAUAAGCACCGGCUAACUACGUGCCAGCCGCCGCCGUAA